UACGUAUGGGGCAAGCGUUGUUCGGAGUUAUUGGGCGUAAAGGGCGUGUAGGCGGUUCAUCAAGUCUGGUGUGAAAUCGCAGGGCUUAACCUUGCGUAUGCGCUGGAAACUGGUGGACUUGAGUUCUGAAGGGGAAGCUGGAAUUCCAGGUGUAGGGGUGAAAUCUGUAGAUAUCUGGAAGAACACCGGUGGCGAAGGCGAGCUUCUAUUCAAGGACUGACGCUGAGGCGCGAAAGCGUGGGGAG
rnacentral:rRNA from 1 species